rnacentral:siRNA from 1 species
CUUGAAGCCAAACUUGAAAGCGUU